rnacentral:rRNA from 1 species
UACACUCCUGCGGGAGGCAGCAGUGGGGAAUAUUGGACAAUGGGCGCAAGCCUGAUCCAGCCAUGCCGCGUGAGUGAUGAAGGCCCUAGGGUUGUAAAGCUCUUUCACCGGAGAAGAUAAUGACGGUAUCCGGAGAAGAAGCCCCGGCUAACUUCGUGCCAGCAGCCGCGGUAAUACGAAGGGGGCUAGCGUUGUUCGGAAUUACUGGGCGUAAAGCGCACGUAGGCGGAUCGAUCAGUCAGGGGUGAAAUCCCAGGGCUCAACCCUGGAACUGCCUUUGAUACUGUCGAUCUGGAGUAUGGAAGAGGUGAGUGGAAUUCCGAGUGUAGAGGUGAAAUUCGUAGAUAUUCGGAGGAACACCAGUGGCGAAGGCGGCUCACUGGUCCAUUACUGACGCUGAGGUGCGAAAGCGUGGGGAGCAAACAGGAUUAGAAACCCGUGUAGUCCCA